rnacentral:rRNA from 1 species
UACACUCCUACGGGAGGCAGCAGUGGGGAAUAUUGGACAAUGGGCGCAAGCCUGAUCCAGCCAUGCCGCGUGAGUGAUGAAGGCCCUAGGGUUGUAAAGCUCUUUCACCGGUGAAGAUAAUGACGGUAACCGGAGAAGAAGCCCCGGCUAACUUCGUGCCAGCAGCCGCGGCAAUACGAAGGGGGCUAGCGUUGUUCGGAUUUACUGGGCGUAAAGCGCACGUAGGCGGACUAUUAAGUCAGGGGUGAAAUCCCGGGGCUCAACCCCGGAACUGCCUUUGAUACUGGUAGUCUUGAGUUCGAGAGAGGGGAGUGGAAUUCCGAGUGUAGAGGUGAAAUUCGUAGAUAUUCGGAGGAACACCAGUGGCGAAGGCGGCUCACUGGCUCGAUACUGACGCUGAGGUGCGAAAGCGUGGGGAGCAAACAGGAUUAGAAACCCGAGUAGUCCCAUG